AACCUGGAUCCUGUUGCUGCUAAUCAAAUCAUGAUAGAAAGAGAAAAAUACCACAGGAGCUAGAGCUUCAUGAUUUCUAUCAAAAGCUUGCCAUUUCGUGCAGUAGAGGUUCUGUCAUGUGAUAUUACUCUGCACAGAGGGAAGUUGGAGAGCCCUGCACGCUGCUUUACUCCACUGGAAGCAACAGAAGUUUUAACCAUCUUCCCAUGGCAUCUGACUUUUUUGAAGAGGAGGACUUUUCAACCACUUGAUGGAAGGGAAAUAAGAAGUUUGUUUCAAGACUCUUAUGUUGUUCAUCAGUGCUGUUAACAAACGUGGGGCUUGAGGAUACAUUUGCUGCUUCUCUGCAUUUUUGCUGAAGGAAGGACCUUGCUGUCUCCCAGCUCCUGUGGGCAUUAGGUUUCAUAAAUGUCUCUUGGGAUGAGGACAGCUCUGUAGAGCCUAAGUUUCAAAGAUUGCACCCAAGAGAGAAUUAGUGAGAUGCACAGUGGGGAGAAUGAGCCCAGCAGUCCAUCCUGUCCUGUACCUGCCUGAAUAUGGGAAGAGACCUAGUACAAAGCCAGAAUGCAGCUGGGCUUGCACUAUUUUUAGCCAUAUUAAGUCCUGUUCAGAGUUAAUGAUGAGCUCAGUUAGGUGGUCUCAGCAAUGUUGAAGAAGGGAAGGACAGAAUUGGAAGACAGGAGCUAUUUCAAAGCAGGAUUCUUCAUCUUUCUGUAAUUCCCAAACAUGAAGAUUUUAUAAACUUCAUUAGAUCCUGCUAUCAAUGACAGCCUCCCUGAAAUCUUCCUAUCAGUUACUGCCAAGAUGAGAAGGAUAACAGGAAGGAGGAGUGCUUUAGUGGAUUUAAUGACAGUUAAUUUCUUCUGUUUAUCAAAUGACAGGUUGUUUUUUUCCUCAAAACUUGAUUGUCAUGACAAGAUGCUUUUGGAAGUCAUUUUUGUAAAAUAAAACUGACAAUUUUUAAGCUACAAAGAGCUAUUGUAUCUUUCUAUUGAAUGUUGUUAUUAUGGAAAAAUGCUGGAAAGUCUUUAUUUUUGAAGUAAUUUAACUUGCAUACUUCAUUCAUUUAUUUUAAUAUCUGUUGAAUGCCAUGUGAAAAGUUUCUUGCCAGAAUUCUUUUAUUCAAUGGAAUAGUUAUUGUUAUAAUGCUCAAUUUAUUAAUGCCUAAAUUACUGUUGACCUAGCCUCCUACAAAAAUGUUUAUUUUUAGUAAUUCUUAAACAAAUAAGGAGUGAAUGAGGUUUUGUCCCCUUUGUGUUUUGAUCAGCAUAUUUUCCCUUUCAGUGAAAGUGUCUUCAUUUUUUGGAAUGACUGAACGCAAAGAAAGGUGGUUUGGUUUUUGGGUUUUUUUUCCCAACAGCACGUGUCUUUUGUGCAAUGAUUUUUUAAUAUGUACACUGCCAAGAUACAAUUACUGGAAGGAGAGAGAGAAGCUGUUGGGAAUGUCAUGUUAUGCCAAAUUAAGAAUUAUUAGCUCUUACUUUCUGUGCAGUCUCUUCGACUAGAACUCGACCUAUUGCGUCUGGCGUAUACUUUGACUCUAGUGGAACUAAUGUGUCCUUGGAGUAGCAUUUCAGAGUAACUUCAGAUUCAUGCUUUUUUCACAAGUCUGCUUUAAACUGCUGGGAUUAACUUCAGAGAAGGCGAGAGAUACAAGCUCCUUUGUCAGCAGCUGUGCUGGUUGAAGAAGGAGGCUUCAUGCUCGCUUGCUUGCUCAUUCUCUCCCUGCUAGGGAAGCAGACUGAACUGUUUCCCUGAACACAUGCAGGCUGACUUCAGCCAAAGUGAAUCGUGUUAUCAGGUAUUAGUUAUCAGUGCCCUGGGUCACUCUGAUGAAAGGACAGGGCAUGCACAGACCAGCUGUGCAGACGUCAUGUCUGGGAAGGGUGCUGUGUUGACAAGAGUUGCUGAGGGCUGGCCCUGCUGUGUCGCCUUUUCAGCAGGUGCAGUUACAUCUCUCAGAUGUGGUAAAAAUUGGAUGUGUUAGAAAGCUGUGCAGAUCUGUCACGCAUAAUACUCACAUUCCAGGGGCAUCCUGGAUAAUGCAGAAUAAACCUGAGCUCUUUGACUUACUCCUUGUGUGUGCCAGUAUGAGGGGAGAGAACCAGUGUGUGUGAAUGUGCCAGACACCUAUUUCAGGAAAAUGUAUCUGAUCAAGGCAUGGGAAUGGUACAAGUGCUUGCAUUAUCUAGAGAACACACUUUUUACUUUACUCAUCAAAGAGGCUUCCUCAGCCAGCACAUGCCUCAGGAGAGCUGCUUUUGACAGAACAGCUGCCUUGAGUGGAGAAGGAAGAACAGCUCCAGCAGGAAUGGCUGCUGUUCAGUAGAUGCUGGAGUCUGGUGAGGCAUCCAAGCUCUUGCUAUUCCCUGGGCCAAAAUUAGAAUGGGAUGGAUAAUCUUUAGUACUCAAAGACAUAGUGAGUAAAAGCAGUGCUCUGAACAGCACCUUCCACACUGACCCUUCUUGUGCAAAGGCUGUGGAGUUUAGGUGCCUUCCUAGAGGCAGCCUGGGCAUACAAAGAAGAAGAGAAACCUGAGAGCAGCAGCACUGCUUGUCUCUCCUCUUGGGGUACUGCCAGGUGAAAAGAACACAGCCACAGAAAGGACUGAGCCUCCAGCUCAGGUUGUGUGUUGUCCCUUAUCUUUUACUUGUCCUUGAGGUAAAAGAUGAGGAAUAUGCAGUGGCCAUAUGUGCGUAUGGAAGGGAGGAAAAUGAAGUGCCAGGUGUGUGAGGAAGGGGCAGGUGUGGGUCCAGGUGUGAGAGCUGUGCCCUGUUCAGCAGCCCAGGGUUGAGCCAUGGCUGAGCUCUCAGUGCUGGGUUCAGGAGUGAUGUCACAUGUCUCACCUGACCAUGAGCUAAGUGCAAAUGACCUCCACAGCUCUCCGAGACAGCCCAUAAUCCAUAUCACUCUUUUUAUCUUAAAAUGGAUUGUUGCAGUACUGAGAUUGAAAUGUUUAAUGAAAUGCUUGUGAUUGCUUAGGUAUCUAUUUACCUGCCUAAGUGGUAAUACACAGGUAAACCAGUACUGCAAAAUAACAUCUUACAUUUAACACUGACAUGGAUAUUUAGCUGAUGAGUAAAAUUUUAUAUCCAAGCACUUAAAACCAUCAAAUACUAUAGUUAAACUGCCAUACUGUUUAUGUAGUGCUAAAAAGACAACAAAAUAAAACUUCAAGGAAGGCAGAUUUUCUUAUAAAUAUUCCAAAUAAUAGGUUGGUUUCAAGUAGACUUCCUGGCUCUUUGGUGAUUUCUGAAUUUGAUCUGAAUCUAUCAGGAAUCCCAAUCAUAAUGGUGUGUUUAUUAUUAUAGACACAUGACUUCUAUUUAAGUUAUCCGCAAAUAUGUUGGACAAAACAUAGUUUACCUUCUUAACUGGUACUAUAUGGUUACUUUCUAACUCCUUUAAUUUCAGUUCUAACUUGAUUGAAUUAAAGGUGCAUUCCUGACAGUAAUCUUUACAUCUGUAAUGGAACACUAGAUUUUGUAUGACUGUUUGCAUACUCCAGACAUAACACAACAUUUUUAUAGCAAUCUGUGUUGACAAUACAAAGAGAUAAAAAUCAGUUUAUGACAAACUAAGGAGCAAACUUUCAAUAAGACCAAUGAAUCAGCAGAAAUUAUUAGAAAGGGAUUAUUAGAUUUUCUGUCUUUUGAAUGAGGAUGAAAUAUUUUUAUAGAGGUAUGUGCUUGAACAAGUGGCCGGGGGUGGUCAAGGAAUUCCUCACAGGCUUCUGUGGCUUUUGCAACACCUGAGGUCAGACUGGGUCAUCUCAGACAUCCUUCUGGCUUGGAAGGGAGUGAGAAGUCUCAGUGUAGCAAAUAUCUUCAUAGAAUAGCAACUUUCACUGAAGAGUUACUCAAAGGUAAUUAAGCUUAUCUUCAAAAAAGGAUUGGGAGGGGCGUUGGGAAUGUUCCUGUCUCCUAGUGCCAUGCCUUUUUCAAAGAUCCUCUUUCACCUGACAGCUUGCUCCUGUGGGGUGUUUCAUUGGCUAAGGUGGGUUUCUCUGGUUCAUCCAUCCUCGCCCCAGCCACAUUAUUACAGCACAUGAACGUCUUUUUCAGGUCAAGUGUCUUCUACAGUGUCUACUUCUACAAAGUGUAAUGUUGCCUUUCUGCUAGAAAUAAUUAUUCUUUCAAAAUAAUCUGACAACAUCCUGCUGUGGAUAAAUUAGGUUAGCUCUCUACUAAGAUUAGUUAGCUGGCAUCCAUUCACUAACACAUUACAAGAGAAUGAUUGCAAGUUGAUUGUGUCCAGUUAUCUGCCUUUUUUCUGUUUGAUAGGCUUUUUGUUGCCAUGCUGUCACCAAACAUGUGCAAGUCAUACUAUUCCCAGUGCCCUACAGUCUGGGGAGAUGGGGUUUGCUGUCCCGUACCAUGGAAAGACUUUUGGGCAGAAGUGUUUGGAGAAGGGGAGAGGUUGUGACCUUGGAGAUUUCUGAAUCUUGUGCACCUUUGGUUUUGGCCCAGAGGGAUGUGUUCUGCUCUAUGGCAAUCAAUACAUUACCACCAAAGUUGAAAUGCCAGGUACAAUUAGCUCAUGUGUUUAAAUAGGUGUUGUUAUUUUUCAGCUUGUAUAUACAAGCCUGUUUUCAUGCAGAAGUCCAUAUUUUACUUGGGAAGAAUGCUGUGCAAAUCAGAAAAAGCAGAAAAAAUAUUUUAAGUUAUGUGCUAGUGUUAAAGAAUUUAGAAAUAACUGUGAGAUCUUGUAGCUACCCAGUUUGUGGUGAUUGGGAUGGAGCUGGCCCAGCCUUAUCCCCAACGAGCUCCAGCUGUGAGGAGCAGGGGAGCAGCAUUGUCACAAUGAGCCAUGGAGUGCCCAGGGGCACUGACCAACCACCAAAGGGAACAGAGGGCACACAGGUGCAGUACAUGAACACUGAGGGUAUAAAGGUUGGGCUAAAGAGCAAGAAGGACAAAAGUUUGCAGCCUGCUGAAGUGGCCUGGUGUUACUCUGUAUGGACAGCCACCUGAAGCCUUCUGAUGUGGUAAGGUGUUACUGUGUUUGGGAGCGUGCUUAAAGCCUUCUGAAAUUGCAUGGUGAUGCUCUGUGCAUUGUGGCUGUCUUUACUGUGCCCUAUGUUGUGACAAGAUCUUUAUUUCUUUGUUUACAAUUGAUUAGGGCUAGAAUUUUAAAAGCUUAGUGCUGACUCAAAGUGCUUUGCAGUCAGUCACUAAGAAAUAUGGGCUUGGCCCAACUCAUGUUUUUGUCCUUCAGUAUAUCCAUUAUUGUUAGGUGCUGAGUGGUUAUUGCACAUAGAUGACUGGUUUUUUUUAGGUAUUUUACAUUUUUAUGUGUUCAGAAAAAUACUUUGUUAAAGUAGCUGCUGGGUGAAUGGAGUAAUUAAAGAAUUGUACUGAUUUUAUUGAAGCUGACAUAUGCUGCACAUUCCUUAAAACUCAAUAUGUGAGCAGAAUGUUUCCAGGAUUUAUUGAAGGCAGGCAUCUAGAGAUAGUGGGGAGCUUUUAAUAGUUGUAAAGAUAACUUCCAAAUUUUAUGUUGUUAUAUAAACCUGUCUUUAAGAAGAGAGCUGUUAUUGCAGUACAUUGCUCAUGUUCUUUGUAUUCUGUCCGUGUGUAUGUUUUAUGUAUGUACUUGUACACCUACAAACAAAUGCUUCACCUGGGCACUUUAUUUGACAGUGAUUUUAUAUUCUAUUUACUAUUUGUUUGGGGGGGGAAAAAAGUGGUUUAAUGCUGACUGAGAAUCUAAUUUUCUUGGUACGAAAAGUAAUCUGCAGUAUAUUGUGGGGGUUUUUAAUUUUUUUUUUUUUAACUGGAAUAUAUCCCUGAUUAGUUUGAAUUACAAUUCUUACUGUGAGAGUGUUGUGGUAGCAAGCAAGAAAUCUUACUCAGCAUAAACUGAGGCUGGGUUUCAUUUUGACUAGUAUGAUGAGUGCAAUGUUCCACGUGCGAUACUUUCGCAAGUUGUGAAAAAAUAGACUUGUUUAUCUAUCAUUUGUAUUUCAUAUGAUUUCAGAGUAGAAUGCUGUCAUAACUAUUGAAUUACUUGGCUAAAACUAGCAAACUUUUGCCUGUGUAUUUUGUCAUGUUUAGACCUUAAGCAUUUUUCAAGCAAUAUGUUUGACUUACUAUUGUUGCACACUGUAAAACAAAAUACAAUAUUAAAAUACAUGCUGAAAGAACGUUCUUCAUCAGCUAUGAAUAAACAUGUGGAAAAUAUA